AGCUCCGGUGGCGCUCGGGCGUGUGCCCCAGCGGUCCUUUUACGCACAGCGCUCGGUCGGUCCACUCCUCAAGUCCGCGAACCGAGGCCCCGACGCGUUCUUCAGGGCGCUGCCUAGGGCAAAAGAAGGCGCUGGACACCCCUAAUGGAGCCUGGAAGCACCUGUCCUGCAGCCGAGGCUGGCCAACUUCCUUCCAAUCUUCAGCCUGGUUUUGAAUAGCUCUUUUGAUAGGUUUUUUUUUUUUUUUUAACCUCCAUGGGCAGGGGGAAUCUAAAGGACCGACACAUUCGAUGAGCCCCUUCAAGCUGUAUGUACAGAUUCAGAAUUUCCAACCUCAAUCCUCCACCCACGUUCCCUUUCACUCCACAAUGCCAGCUAUGGGGCAGAGAACGGUGAGCCGCAGCCUUGCGGACUCCGGGCGACGCUGAGGCGGGUGUGUCACACACCGCUCAUCCACUUACUCCUCCUGUUGGAAGUGCCCACUCUUUCAUGAAAGUAGGAGGUUGUGUCCGGCGCGCUGGCUCACGCCUGUAAUCUCAGGGCUUUGGGAGGAUCGCUUGAGCCCAGGAGUUCAAGACCAGUCUGGGCACCAUAGUAAGACUCCAUCUCUACGUAAAAAACAAAAACUAGCCAGGCAUAGUGGCGCGUGCCUGUAUUUCCAGCUACUCUGGAGCUGAGGUGGGAGGAUCGCUUGAACCCGGG
rnacentral:lncRNA from 10 species